rnacentral:rRNA from 1 species
UACGUAGGUGGCAAGCGUUGUCCGGAUUCAUUGGGCGUAAAGAGCGUGUAGGCGGUCAGGUAGGUCGGUUGUGAAAACUGGAGGCUCAACCUUCAGAGGUCGACCGAAACCAUCUGGCUAGAGUCCGGGAGAGGAGAGUGGAAUUCCUGGUGUAGCGGUGAAAUGCGCAGAUAUCAGGAAGAACACCCGUGGCGAAAGCGGCUCUCUAGAACGGUACUGACGCUGAGACGCGAAAGCGUGGGGAGCGAACAGG